CCCUGGGGCAGAGCCGCGAACGGGUGAGUAACACGUGGGUUACCUGCCUCGAUGACCGGGACAACCCGAGGAAACUCGGGCUAAUACCGGAUGUGCCCGCAAGGGGAAAGGAAGCUUCGGCCUCCGCAUCGAGAUGGGCCCGCGGCCCAUUAGCUUGUUGGUGAGGUAACGGCUCACCAAGGCUGCGAUGGGUAGCUGGUCUGAGAGGACGAUCAGCCACACUGGGACUGAGACACGGCCCAGACUCCUACGGGAGGCAGCAGUGGGGAAUCUUGCGCAAUGCGCGAAAGCGUGACGCAGCAACGCCGCGUGGGGGAAGAAGGCUUUCGGGUUGUAAACCCCUUUCAGUUGGGACGAAGCUUCGCCGGUGAAUAGCCGGCUGGAGUGACGGUACCUUCACAAGAAGCACCGGCUAACUACGUGCCAGCAGCCGCGGUAAUACGUAGGGUGCAAGCGUUGUCCGGAAUUAUUGGGCGUAAAGAGCGUGUAGGCGGCUUGAUAAGUCUGCUGUGAAAGUCCAGGGCUCAACCCUGGAAAGCCGGUGGAUACUGUCAAGCUAGAGUCCGGAAGGGGCGAGUGGAAUUCCUGGUGUAGCGGUGAAAUGCGCAGAUAUCAGGAGGAACACCAAUGGCGAA
rnacentral:rRNA from 1 species